GACGAACGCUGGCGGCGUGCCUAAUACAUGCAAGUUGAGCGCUGAAGGUUGGUAUUCGUACCAACUGGAUGAGCAGCGAACGGGUGAGUAACGCGUGGGGAAUCUGCCUUUGAGCGGGGGACAACAUUUGGAAACGAAUGCUAAUACCGCAUAAAAACUUUAAACACAAGUUUUAAGUUUGAAAGAUGCAAUUGCAUCACUCAAAGAUGAUCCCGCGUUGUAUUAGCUAGUUGGUGAGGUAAAGGCUCACCAAGGCGAUGAUACAUAGCCGACCUGAGAGGGUGAUCGGCCACAUUGGGACUGAGACACGGCCCAAACUCCUACGGGAGGCAGCAGUAGGGAAUCUUCGGCAAUGGACGAAAGUCUGACCGAGCAACGCCGCGUGAGUGAAGAAGGUUUUCGGAUCGUAAAACUCUGUUGGUAGAGAAGAACGUUGGUGAGAGUGGAAAGCUCAUCAAGUGACGGUAACUACCCAGAAAGGGACGGCUAACUACGUG
rnacentral:rRNA from 1 species